rnacentral:rRNA from 1 species
UGGAGGAAAGCAGGGGAUCGCAAGACCUUGCGCUUUUGGAGUGGCCGAUGCCUGAUUAGCUAGUUGGUGGGGUAAGAGCCUACCAAGGCGACGAUCAGUAGUUGGUCUGAGAGGACGACCAGCCACACUGGGACUGAGACACGGCCCAGACUCCUACGGGAGGCAGCAGUGGGGAAUUUUGGACAAUGGGCGAAAGCCUGAUCCAGCAAUGCCGCGUGAGUGAAGAAGGCCUUCGGGUUGUAAAGCUCUUUCAGUCGAGAAGAAAAGGUCGCGACUAAUAAUCGCGACUCAUGACGGUAUCGACAGAAGAAGCACCGGCUAACUACGUGCCAACAGCCGCGGUAAUACGUAGGGUGCGAGCGUUAAUCGGAAUUACUGGGCGUAAAGGGUGCGCAGGCGGCUUUGUAAGUCAGAUGUGA